UGAGUACUACCUCCGUCCUAAAAUUUCUUGUCUUAGAUUUGUCUAUUUAUGAAUGUAUCUAGUCAUAUUUUAGUAUUUAGAUACAUCCAUUUCUAGAUCAAUCUAAGACAUGAAUUUUAGGACGAAGGGAGUAUUUA
rfam:Hordeum vulgare subsp. vulgare, WGS project CAJW01000000 data, contig: morex_contig_47560